rnacentral:rRNA from 1 species
GACGAACGCUGGCGGCGUGCUUAACACAUGCAAGUCGAACGGAAAGGCCCUGCUUUUGUGGGGUGCUCGAGUGGCGAACGGGUGAGUAACACGUGAGUAACCUGCCCUUGACUUUGGGAUAACUUCAGGAAACUGGGGCUAAUACCGGAUAGGAGCUCCUGCUGCAUGGUGGGGGUUGGAAAGUUUCGGCGGUUGGGGAUGGGCUCGCGGCUUAUCAGCUUGUUGGUGGGGUAGUGGCUUACCAAGGCUUUGACGGGUAGCCGGCCUGAGAGGGUGACCGGCCACAUUGGGACUGAGAUACGGCCCAGACUCCUACGGGAGGCAGCAGGGGGGAAUAUUGCACAAUGGGCGGAAGCCUGAUGCAGCAACGCCGCGUGCGGGAUGACGGCCUUCGGGUUGUAAACCGCUUUCGCCUGUGACGAAGCGUGAGUGACGGUAAUGGGUAAAGAAGCACCGGCUAACUACGUG